UUAGAAGUCAUAAACGUUAACGUAAACAUGUAUAAAGUGAUUUGUAUUUGUUUGUUUCUAAAUUCACACUUUUUUUUUGAAGUUCUGGGUGAUGACAAUGGAGAACAAUCAAUAUGUUUGAAUGGAAUAAACAAAGAUUUUAUUGUUAAAAGUUAUGAAAAUUUAAACAAAAAUAUAGAACCAGAAGAAACAUUUAAAAAUUUCAUUGGGUGUUUAUAUAAUGAAGCAGGAUAUACAGAGAGUAGCAGUAAGAAUAUUAAUAUUGAAAAAUUCCGAGAAGUUGCAUUGAUAGGCAAAACAAACGAAAUGGUAGAUCAGAUAUUAAAAGGUUGUGAUAAUUUGACAGCAGAUGCAAAAUUCAUCGCUUAUGAACACUAUAAAUGUGUGAAUUCGAAUGUAAUGCAAUUACAGAGUGCAAAGAAUAAAACAUCACAGUAAUUAUCUUCUCAUUGUGUUAUUAACAAACUUUUGGACAAUAAAAUAAAAUAAUAGGUGAUAAUAAUAAACAAUUCAAUCAUUUCAAUAGACUAAUUAAUUUUGUAAGUAAAUUUAGAACAAUAAUAUAUCGUGUUCCGUUAUAAAUUCUAUUUGAUACAAGUAUAUAAACCUCGUAAAAAGUAUAAACAUUUAAUUUUGUUAACAAAGUCAACAUGUUUCGAUCCUGUGAAUUCAUCAUCUACACUUUUCUGGUUUUUUAUUUAAAUAUUUCAAGAAAUUCAAUAGUUGCUGCGACAAUAGAAGAAUCAAAUGCUGCAACAACUAAAUGCCUAAACAUAUCAAAAGUUGAUGUAAAUCUAGUAAUAAACACGUUGUUAACUGGAAAUAUUACUUCCGAUGCAAAAUUUAAAAAUUUCGUGCAAUGUAUUUACUUUGAACUAGAAUAUCAAGAGAAAAACAGUGCUAAAAUAAAUAGGGAUAGAGUGUAUAAA